UUUAGGCCAGCAAGGAGGCGGGGCUGAUUAAGUCCCGCACAGAACGUUAAGUCAAGUGUCAGGACGUUAUCACUGUAGGCCUGCUCCUAGUUCCAUCCAAGUCAAGUUUCUUUGCAGAUGCAACUUCCAGCAGUGAAGAAGAAGCAAACACUAAUAACAAAGAUAAGGCAGAGGAACCUCCAGCAUCUCCUCUUUCUCCCUUGCCCUCUUUCAGGCUCCCUGCUCCUUGUCUUAGUAACCAGAGUGGGUUGAGUUCCAGCAGUGUGUUCUCAAACCCAUUCCAAGAUGAGAAGCAGGCACAGCUAAGCAUCUUAGAAAGACAUGUCAAACUGAGUGAUGGCAAUUGGGCAAGGGGUGGAAAAGGUGUCUGUCUUGCUUACCAGAGAGAUGGGCGAUGUCGUUAUGGAACCAAAUGCAAAUACAGCCAUGGUAGUGACUUGCCUCAGGGAAGUACUGCGUUUUCACAGCGACCGAUCGUUGGAAAUAAUUCAAGCAAUAAAGUCUUAGAGAUGCAAAGUUUAGCAAGUGGGGAAGAACAAGUUGAGGAACCUCAAAGUGAUAA